rnacentral:tRNA from 1 species
CAUUAAAUGACUGAAAAAGUGUUGAUUUUUUAAAUCAAAUAAUAUUAGUAAAAUCUAUUUUUAAUGA